rnacentral:tRNA from 1 species
AGGGAUGCAGCUUAGUGGUAGAGCAUUCGCCUAGCAUGCAUGAGGCCCUGGGUUUAAUCCCCAGCAUUGCAG